rnacentral:rRNA from 1 species
AUGAAGAGGCUGCUCGUUCAUGGCCGGAGGGGAAUCAGCUGCCCCUCCAGGAGCGCGGCGGGAGAUCCCUCCGCCCUGCCCGCGCUUGGCAACAGCGUUCUACUGCCCAGGUACCACUCGACAGAGAAACACGACGACAGUGACACGCUGGGCGAAAUCGGAGAGAAGGCAAGAACGACGGCGGAGGAGUUCCUGAAGAUGGCCAAGGAGAAGACCGACGACGUCGCCGAGGGCGCAAAGGAGACGGUGCAGGAGACCAAGGAAGCGGUGCUCGGCGAGUCGGACGACGAGAAGGAGAAGUUCAAGCAGAGGGUCGAGCAGGGGAGGUACCAUCAGAAAUAA